CCCACCCCCGGAGUUCCUGCCUCAGGACUCUGGGUGCUACUGGAGAGAAACGGAUUUCUCCAGCCCUGACCAGCAUAGCUGGGGUUUUCAGCCAUUGCUAUAAUAAAAACCAAGUACCAUAUGAAAAUCAAUGUGCAACAGGAAAUGAGCAUCGUCGUGUUACUCUGAUUCUCAGGUUUAAGAAGAUACGCAGUGCCCAAACAGGCAUACACAUUCCAUUACAUUGUUUAUUGGAAUUUGACGCCUGGACCUGCUGUGACCGUUUUGCUAAUGCCAAGAGGAUGAAGUCAACACACAAAGGAGACCAGAUCAGAGGGAACCAUAAGAAGCAGAUUUGGAGCCUGAUUCACUGCUGGAUUUCUUAUUAUGCAAGGAAGCAAACUUCCUGAUCUCCUGAUUAUUCAAGCCACUUUGAGUUCAGGUUAUCUGUUUGUUAUAGCUAAAAGCAUCCGAAGUUAUACCCAUCAAAUACACAUGGGCAACACACACAAAAUAUCUCCUCCCUAACCAACCCUCGCUGUCUGAAAUGCUUCUCCUGACCCAUUUUUUUCACUGGGGAAUUUUCUCUCUACAAUAUCCGCAUAUCUCUGGAAGAUCCUCUAAAUAUAUUCAUUUUUCUAAAAAUUAGUUUAAAUAUUGCUUACUAUUUUAUUGAGUCUUUACCAAAUGCUAGACCCUUGGGGCUGUGAGGAUUUGAGGUUAAGGGAAGGGGCCAGUGGAUGGGGUUGGUCUUUAAAGACUUGCUUUCAGAAAAUGAAGGAGAAUUAUCUAGAUCACGGUCUUCUUGGACUCCUCUCACUUUCAUCACUAGGCUCACCACAGGCUGAUUGACUCCACCAAGAGGAGGGAAGAAAGCAGAGAAGUACUCAGUGGAUUGGGAGAGCAAGGUGGGUUUAGCCCUGAGACUCUAAUUCAUUGCUACUUGCCUGCAAGAAAGAGAAAGUGAUCCACUACCAACUGUGAUUAAGGUGUACUUUUUUUGCCUUCCUCCUUUCUCUUUCACUUUAGAAAAGGGAAAGGUUGGAAGAGAUAAACUCAAUCUCUAGAAUGUGAAACCAGAGUUCAAUAGGAGAAAAAAAAUAGAAAUAUUAAAUCCAAGGAGAAUUAAUUUAAAGACUAAUGUGUUACCACUGAGAACAGGGAAUGCACUGAGCCCAUGACCACUAAAAUCUUGCCCAGACGUGCUUGUUGGUGUGGGGGGUAGCACCGAAA